rnacentral:rRNA from 1 species
UACGGAGGGUGCAAGCAUUAAUCGGAAUGAUUGGGCGUAAAGGGCGCGUAGGCGGGAAUGUAAGUCUGGUGUGAAAUUCCAAAACUCAAUUUUGGAGCUGCAUGAGAAACUACAUACCUUGAGGAUUGGCGGAGGGAACGGAAUUCCACGUGUAGCGGUGAAAUGCGUAGAUAUGUGGAAGAACACCGGUGGCGAAAGCGGUUUUCUAGCUAAGACCAGACGCUGAGGCGCGAGAGCAAGGGGAGCAAACAGG